rnacentral:lncRNA from 1 species
CUCAGGGUCAGCCGCCCACCAGCUGGCCUGCUAUUUCUGGGCUGUGGGGGCUGCCAGUGGCCUCCUAGAUUUCUUUGAGCCUGGGAGGGAGGAGGGGACAGGCUGUACUUUGGGGACUCCGUAAGUUGUCAUGCCCCUCGAGAGGCAGCCCCAGGAGAGGCUAGAAUGAAAGAUCCCGAUCCGUCAUCACGUUUGGGGCUCAGCAAAGGGAAGGGAGUUGCCAAGACACAGAGCAAGUCAGUGGUGGAGUGUGGGCUCUAGAACCCAGAUUGAUCUCCUCAUUCCCAUCUCCACUGGAGAGAUGAUGCAUAUGGUUCAGAGAGGUCAAUUGACUAACCUGAGAUCACACAGUGAGAAAGAGGCAAGGCCAGUAUUCUAGCCACAUCUGUCCAUUCCAAGACAUCGUUUAUGUACACUUGUGUUUGCAGGUGGGACUCCUUGGGGCCUUAGGUGUCUGCAGAAGUGUCUCAGGGGCCUCGGAGGGGAGGUGACAGAAAAGCUGAGCUCACAAGUGGGACUCUGUUACUCCUCCUCCAUUUUCGUCCAUUUUAUUUGUGUCUUACGAGGAACAAAGGAAGGCUAGGAUGUUUUGGAAAGAUUGCCGACCCUUCAGCAUCUUAAUUACAUCAACAUGAAAACUGAGGCUCACCCAGGGGAAGGGGCUUGCCCAAAGAGCCCAGCAAGGCCUAGAAGCCCGGGCUCCACAUCCCCACCUGGGGCUUCCAGGGGGAGGGGAGAGAGACAACACGGAGGAGUACAUUGGGACCUCGCGUGAGCCGAGCAGCAGCUAAUAGGACGUUACCCAGGGACGUAGAGAUGCGGCUCCCGGCCCGUCUGCAGAAGCGUGGAGAGGAGCUUGCUCGUCCGCAGCCGAAGGGGAGUGGGACUGAGGUUCCAUCCAGGAUUGGACACUUAAUUUGAUUGCUGCAUUCCUUUAGUGUCUGUUCCAGAAUGAAGAGUGCCCACUGUACCACCCACGGCACUUUUUUUUCUUUCAUGACAUUGACCUUUUUUAGAGACAGCUCAGUUGUCUUGUUGACUGUCUCUCCAUUUGGGCGGAUGUGAUUGUUUCCUCGUGGUUAGAUUUGGGUGGAACAUUCUGGGCAAUAACACUGCAGAGGUGAGGUCGCAUCCUCCCCAGUGCAUUAUGUAAGUAGGGCCCCGUGCCAGUUCGUCCCACCACCAGUGAU